rnacentral:sRNA from 1 species
UUGGGGAGUAGCCUGCUUCCGGUAUCGGAAGCGCCCGCGUCAACACACUCGGCCAUUGCGCCGUGGCGCGGGCAGCCAGACCCGGUUGGCGAGACCAGCGGCAUGCGCGCGCAACGACAGGUUGGGCGUGUGCGCAUGUCGUAUGCGUCGUCCGCCCGGCCU